UUAAGCCAAAAAUGUAACGAAGAAUAUAUUUGUUGCAUUUUUAAUUCUUAGUUCACAGGUAUUUUUGACACUUUUUUUUUAAUUCAUAUGGUAAACAGUGCCACUAAUCCCUUUUCUCUUUUCUACACUCUUUAUCAAAUAUAUACAAGUCCAACCUCCAAAAAGGCUCUUAAUAGGAUGCACUGAUCUCUUUUCUAAAAAAAGAAAUAAAUUGUAGUUCAUCUUGUACCUCUUGUGGGUUAUCUUUCAACUCCAUCCUUGCGUUGAUGUGUUGUUGCUCUUUCUAUAAACUUCCCUUGGUUCUAGUGAGCUCAGGUUCUCUCCUAUUGACUAGCUUCUCCACCACAUUUCUAAUCUAUAUCUUCCCUUUUCAGGUGGUUGGGGGUUGUCCCUAGGGUGUUGAAGAUGUUGUUGUAUCUUUGUUGUUUCUCCCCCUCCCCCCAGGUCACUGAGAAGGUUGAGUUGUUGUGAAGGGAGGCUCCAUCUACCCCUAUUUUUGGUGAAGGUUUUUGGUAACUAGGGCAUCUAGCUAGAAUUAGUACAGUAGAGUAGUUGUCUUUGUGACUAAAAUAAUUAUCUUUGUUCCCUUUCUUAUUUCUGAUUCCCAUGGGAUUGUAAUUAUUGGAAUCACCUGCUGCUUAUCUGAACUAUGUGUGAAUGCUCUUUUAAUCCAUGCAUGUUUACUGUUAUGCUUGAA